UACAGGGGGUGCAAACGUUGCUCGGAAUUAUUGGGCGUAAAGCGCGCGUAGGCGGCCGCUUAAGUCGGAUGUGAAAGCCCCUGGCUCAACUGGGGAAGUGCACCCGAAACUGAGUGGCUUGAGUACUAAAGAGGGUCGCGGAAUUCCCGGUGUAGAGGUGAAAUUCGUAGAUAUCGGGAGGAACACCGGUGGCGAAGGCGGCGACCUGGGUAGAUACUGACGCUGAGGCGCGAAAGCGUGGGGAGCAACAGG
rnacentral:rRNA from 1 species